UUGUCUCAAAGAUUAAGCCAUGCAUGUCUCAGUACAAGCCAAAUUAAGGUGAAACCGCGAAAGGCUCAUUAAAUCAGUUAUGGUUCCUUAGAUCGUACCAACAUUUACUUGGAUAACUGUGGUAAUUCUAGAGCUAAUACAUGCAAACAGAGCUCCGACCGGAGACGGAAGGAGCGCUUUUAUUAGAUCAAAACCAAUCGGCGGCGGGGUCGCUUGCGGUCCCGUCGUCGUUCGCAUUGACGAAUCUGAAUAACUUUCUGCUGAUCGCACGGUCUCGCACCGGCGACGCAUCUUUCAAAUGUCUGCCUUAUCAACUGUCGAUGGUAGGUUCUGUGCCUACCAUGGUUGUAACGGGUAACGGGGAAUCAGGGUUCGAUUCCGGAGAGGGAGCCUGAGAAACGGCUACCACAUCCAAGGAAGGCAGCAGGCGCGCAAAUUACCCACUCCCGGCACGGGGAGGUAGUGACGAAAAAUAACGAUACGGGACUCAUCCGAGGCCCCGUAAUCGGAAUGAGAACAAUUUAAAUCCUUUAACGAGGAUCAAUUGGAGGGCAAGUCUGGUGCCAGCAGCCGCGGUAAUUCCAGCUCCAAUAGCGUAUAUUAAAGUUGUUGCGGUUAAAAAGCUCGUAGUCGAAUCUGUGUCCCGCACCGCCGGUUCGUCGCUCGCGGCGUUUAACUGGCGUGCCGCGGGACGUCCUGCCGGUGGGCUUAGCUCUUUCGCGAGGGCGGCCCAAUUGUAAUCCCGCCGCGGUGCUCUUAACUGAGUGUCGAGGCGGGCCGGCACGUUUACUUUGAACAAAUUAGAGUGCUUAAAGCAGGCUAAACUUCGCCUGAAUACUUCGUGCAUGGAAUAAUGGAAUAGGACCUCGGUUCUAUUUUGUUGGUUUUCGGAACCCCGAGGUAAUGAUUAAUAGGAACGGAUGGGGGCAUUCGUAUUGCGACGUUAGAGGUGAAAUUCUUGGACCGUCGCAAGACGGACAGAAGCGAAAGCAUUUGCCAAAAACGUUUUCAUUGAUCAAGAACGAAAGUUAGAGGUUCGAAGGCGAUCAGAUACCGCCCUAGUUCUAACCAUAAACGAUGCCAGCUAGCGAUCCGCCCACGAUCCUCCGAUGUCUGGGCGGGCAGCUUCCGGGAAACCAAAGCUUUUGGGUUCCGGGGGAAGUAUGGUUGCAAAGCUGAAACUUAAAGGAAUUGACGGAAGGGCACCACCAGGAGUGGAGCCUGCGGCUUAAUUUGACUCAACACGGGAAACCUCACCAGGCCCGGACACCGGAAGGAUUGACAGAUUGAGAGCUCUUUCUUGAUUCGGUGGGUGGUGGUGCAUGGCCGUUCUUAGUUGGUGGAGCGAUUUGUCUGGUUAAUUCCGAUAACGAACGAGACUCUGGCCUGCUAACUAGGCGUAUUUCCGACAUCUCGAAGGCCCGCCGGCCUGGAGCGUUCGCGCUCCUUGUCGUGCGCGGUUUUUACUGUCGGCGUACAAACAAUUCUUCUUAGAGGGACAGGCGGCUUCUAGCCGCACGAGAUAGAGCAAUAACAGGUCUGUGAUGCCCUUAGAUGUUCUGGGCCGCACGCGCGCUACACUGAAGGAAUCAGCGUGUCCUCCCUGGCCGAGCGGCCCGGGUAACCCGCUGAACCUCCUUCGUGCUAGGGAUUGGGGCUUGCAAUUGUUCCCCAUGAACGAGGAAUUCCCAGUAAGCGCGAGUCAUAAGCUCGCGUUGAUUACGUCCCUGCCCUUUGUACACACCGCCCGUCGCUACUACCGAUUGAAUGAUUUAGUGAGGUCUUCGGACCGGCACGCGGUGGCGUUUCGACGUCGCCGAUGCUGCUGGAAAGAUGACCAAACUUGAUCAUUU
rnacentral:rRNA from 1 species